rnacentral:rRNA from 1 species
CCUACGGGUGGCAGCAGUGAGGAAUAUUGGUCAAUGGACGAGAGUCUGAACCAGCCAAGUAGCGUGAAGGAUGACUGCCCUAUGGGUUGUAAACUUCUUUUAUAUGGGAAUAAAAUGUUCCACGUGUGGGAUUUUGUAUGUACCAUAUGAAUAAGGAUCGGCUAACUCCGUGCCAGCCGCCGCGGUAAUACGGAGGAUCCGAGCGUUAUCCGGAUUUCGUGGGUUUAAAGGGAGCGUAGGUGGAUUGUUAAGUCAGUUGUGAAAGUUUGCGGCUCAAACGUAAAAUUGCAGUUGAAACUGGCAGUCUUGAGUACAGUAGAGGUGGGCGGAAUUCGUGGUGUAGCGGUGAAAUGCUUAGAUAUCACGAAGAACACCGAUUGCGAAGGCAGUUCACUGGACUGCAACUGACACUGAGGCGCGAAAGUGUGGGUAUCAAACAGGAUUAGAUACCCUUGUAGUC